AUCCCUGACACAUUCAUGUCUUAUGCUGACAAGUUGACCACACAGUCCCUGGUUGACACCUGUCCCUCUCGAGGCUCGAUUCUUCAAGAUCAAUCUGAUUAUUAUAAAGUCGGGUCCUAUAUGGCCUAAGGCUGCUUCAGUCAUGGCUGUUUUCUCUACAAGGAGAACCACUUUCUCAUUUUGGAUUUCAGUGUUUCUCCUCCUGCUCGUCUUCCUCCAGAUGUUAACCGCCCUGGUGAAAUUUGCUGGUGUGUUCAUACUUUCCAACGAAGCCUUCGUCAGCCCCUUUCGGUUUUGUCUAACAGACCAACACGGUGAAUCAUCCUGCAGGAGCCAUGUUAAUGGAGCUGAAUCUGGGGUAAAAAUUAACAUCCUCACAACAGUGGUGAUCCUCUGUUUGUACGUGCCGGUGGUUCUUGUGGCCUUUGCCCUGUUGGCCACGAUGCUAGCAGCUUACGCCAGAGACAGAACAGCACUCUGGUUAAGCGCGGGCUGCCAGGGUGCGUCGAGCCUGCUCAUCCUGAUGGGAAUUGUCAUUUUUUUGCUACUUAAUCAUUCGCAUGUGAGUUGGGAUCACAUGACCCUCAGCUUCUAUCUCUGCGUGGCUGCGCAGGUGGAGCUGGGGGUCACCGCUGUGCUGACCUAUGUGUUAUAGAGGAGACUGUCUGAAUGGGACGAGGUCAUCUAAAUGAAAAUGUAAAGUUGUGAAUAACUUGUGGAAGAGGGAAAAUGUAAUCAAAAAUGUCAAUAGAAUUAUAACCAAACAGUAUUUUUUGAUAAAUCCAGAUUAUGUUCUUCAUAAGGUUGUCUCUAAAAAGUGUUUCUAUCUGUAUUUUUGUUUGCAUAUGCUGAUGAAAACAAAGUGUUAAAGCAGAUUUGAUGAGGAACUGAUUUUCAGUUUGCCUUUCUUUUUGUUAAAUCAACUGGAACAUGUUGUACUUGCCCUUGCCUGCUGCUAAAGAGCUCUUCCAUUCUAGACAAACUGGUUUUGUAAACGUGAAGGCCAACUAUGUAAAUAAAUCUCACUUUUAAAAAAAACACA